GGGAGUGUGGCUCAGUGGUAGAGCAUCGCUCUGAUAAGGCGAGGGUCGCAGGUUCGAUUCCUGCCAUUCCCA
rnacentral:tRNA from 1 species